GAAACACCAGGUGUAAUAUCAUCAAUUAAAGAAAUUCAUAUACGACCAGUGUUGAUUACCACAGAUCAUUUACGUUGGGAAAAUCCUUUCAAAUAAAUAGAUGUGUAAAAGUUUAUAAUGUAACACCAGAACAAUCUACCGAGAAAAGGUCAAAUCAGAUUUUAACAGUUAAAGAUAAUAUAUAUUAAUUUAAAGUAAAUAUAUAUAAGCGAAACAUGCUAUAUAUAUGAAUAAAAAAAUCAUGCAUUAAUAGAAUAAACCUGUAAUUGAAGACAAACAUUCAAAUGCAUAUAAAAUUGCAUAUAACGUAUACACAGCGAUACAUGGAAAAUCAUUAUAGAAACUCGAUACGGACAAGAAAUAAAAUAAUAAUAUUAGUAGGUUUUGCUAAGAUUGGUUCAUGGACACGAUUAUUUAUAAAACAAAUAUUUGAUUUCACGAAAAAUAAAUAACAACGGGACUAAAUUGUAAUUUUGUAGGUCCAGUAUUUGGUGUCACAGGGUGGUCACAGCCCUUCAAACUGUAUAGGAAGGAUGAUGAAGAAGUGUGGCACUAAUCAGUUAUGGACCAAAUACAGUCUGAAGGGGCAAAAGGGAAAAGAGGCAUUCACAGGUCACCCUUUGUGCAGGAUAAUCAUGAAAAGUUGUACAAGAGUGUUCCCAAAAUCCAAGGUUUCCGAUAUGGAGGGAGUCUUAAUUGAAAUCCUAAAAUAGGCCCCACACAAACCAGGAGGACCAAAAUAUAAGAAACCUGUAAGAAAAGGACAGACGAUUGCGCAAGAAGAAUUGGAGUCUGAACAAAUAAAUCUGUUUAAAAGUACAUUGAUUCUACUGAUUUUAGUCCUGUCAAUACUGUUUUUUUUUUGUUGCAAAGUGAUUAAAGAUGUUUAUAAAACUAUA